CUUGAUGAUUCAUCUCCAUGAGUGCACAAUCCCUGAACUCACUGUCUUUUCUCCACACUUGUCCCAAGCCAAGGUAGAUUUGUACGUAGACAGACUGCUGACCAUCUGCCUCUUGAGAGAGAGAGAAGUGGGCAUCCUUCCUUUAAAUUCAGGAACCACUGUUGUUUUAUUUGACUUUUUCUGUUACUUGCAUCCCUUAUAUAAGUUGUUUUGGAUUUGGGAUUAUGUUUUGGGGGAGAAAAAUUCCAGUUAGUUCUGUUUUUUGUAUUGGUUAUUCAGCUUACUUUUGGUAUCAAAAUUAUGCCAGUUUUAAGCUCACUUGAGUGAAGUUUAAGUCACAAGAUUCUGUUUAAUAUGCUUUCCUCGUUUUGGAAAUAACCAAAAACUUCCCUUUUUUGUUACGGGAUUUUGACCUACAAAUCCUAAUCAUGUUUAAAAUGUGCCGGUGUUGGGUAGAUGACUUUUCUGCCUCUGGGGUUCAGUUUAUAUUUAAAGAUACCUUAAAAU
rnacentral:sRNA from 1 species